ensembl:lncRNA
CCGCUGGACGCACACAUUUAGAAGCAUCACUGAGCUAUAAAGUUUGUUACAUUGUCUUCAGUCGGCCCACAGCGAGGUCAUGAGUCAUGACUUUGUUUUAACGGCCAUUAGGAUUAUUGCUACAUAAAUACAGUGUACUUCACCAAUACUGCAGGAAUCUGUUUUACACACACACACACACACACACACACUAGCAGGUCAUUGUGGUUAAGCAAUACACACGUGUACAUGAAGUACACCACCGUGUAGACAGUAUCUAGUGUUUCAGCCCGGCCCUCUGAACCGAGCGCGGCGGGUUUUAAAAGGCCACCCUGGUGAGGAAAACAAGCGCUCCUGUGUGUGUGCGUGGACUCUGCUGCUGGUUUACUUCACAAAAUGUACCUUUGAUGGUUUCCUACAUGCAUCAACUCUGGAAGUGUCUUUUAAAUCAUUUAUUAAAACAGAUUUUACUUGCGUUAAUGCUCUUUUCAUUGUUUGCAUAAUUUUUGAUGUCAGAUGUUCUUAUAUCAAUGUUUUAUUGUUUCACCUGCUUUUGUUAGGAAUCAGGCUUGAGCUUCCCGUUGCCUUGAUUUGUCCUCCAUAACUUCUGUCUUUACGCAGUUUUUACUUGUGGAGUUUUGUUCAGGCCUCUCCAAACGUGUUGGUACUUUAAAUCAGCUCUAUUUGUCCUCUGACAUUCAUUGAGAGACUCGCUCUGUCUGGAGGCUUUGGAGGAAUUUGCCGUCACCGGGAACAGCUGCCAUGUUUUUUUUUUAUUUUUUAUUAAAGUUUCAAGUCAGCCGAGACUUGAUGAUGUCACACGUGGACGGAUAAGCAGAGAAGCAAAAGGCCCCGUUGCCUGUGUGUUGUGUGUUGUGCGUUGUGCGUUGUGCGUUGGGUCACAUCCCGUCUCACAGCACCUUGCACACUGUGUGUAUAUUGUGCACACACACACACAGGGGACCGGCUGAAACACUGAGACAUGUCCCGUCGUCUCCUCCCUUCUGCAUUCCGCCUCUGAACACCAACGGCAACGUAAAC